rfam:Solanum lycopersicum cultivar Heinz 1706 chromosome 3, whole genome shotgun sequence.
UGAUUUUGCUAUGAGGAUUCUUAAGCUCCCUCUUCUGAGUUAAAGCUGAGGAAACUUGCUGGCAGAAUCGAACCAAUAAUAACUAGCCACUACUGAGCCA